GAUGAACGCUGGCGGCGUGCCUAAUACAUGCAAGUCGAGCGAACAGACGAGGAGCUUGCUCCUCUGACGUUAGCGGCGGACGGGUGAGUAACACGUGGAUAACCUACCUAUAAGACUGGGAUAACUUCGGGAAACCGGAGCUAAUACCGGAUAAUAUAUUGAACCGCAUGGUUCAAUAGUGAAAGACGGUUUUGCUGUCACUUAUAGAUGGAUCCGCGCCGCAUUAGCUAGUUGGUAAGGUAACGGCUUACCAAGGCAACGAUGCGUAGCCGACCUGAGAGGGUGAUCGGCCACACUGGAACUGAGACACGGUCCAGCCUCCUACGGGAGGCAGCAGUAGGGAAUCUUCCGCAAUGGGCGAAAGCCUGACGGAGCAACGCCGCGUGAGUGAUGAAGGGCUUCGGAUCGUAAAACUCUGUUAUUAGGGAAGAACAAAUGUGUAAGUAACUAUGCACGUCUUGACGGUACCUAAGCAGAAAGCCACGGCUAACUACGU
rnacentral:rRNA from 1 species